rnacentral:SRP_RNA from 1 species
GGAAUGGCGACCUGUCGCUGCGGGAACCGGUUCAGGCCCGGAAGGGAGCAGACUUACCGCAGACAUCCGGCGCCCAUGGGGUA